UAAUACGGAGGGUGCAAGCGUUGUUCGGAUUUAUUGGGCGUAAAGAGCAUGUAGGCGGUCUGUUAAGUCAGAGGUGAAAGUCCCGGGCUCAACCCGGGAAGUGCCUUUGAUACUGGCAGACUUGAGUACGGGAGAGGGUGGCGGAAUUCCAUGUGUAGAGGUGAAAUUCGUAGAUACAUGGAGGAACACCGGUGGCGAAGGCGGCUACCUGGACCGAUACUGACGCUGAGAUGCGAAAGCGUGGGGAGCAAACGGGAUUAGAUACCCCGGUAGUCCACGCCCUAAACGAUGAGUACUAGGUGUUGCGGGGGCUACCCUGCGGUGCCGCAGCUAACGCAUUAAGUACUCCGCCUGGGAAGUACGGCCGCAAGGCUA
rnacentral:rRNA from 1 species